rnacentral:rRNA from 1 species
UACGGGAGGCAGCAGUGGGGAAUAUUGCACAAUGGGCGCAAGCCUGAUGCAGCUAUGCCGCGUGUAUGAAGAAGGCCUUAGGGUUGUAAAGUACUUUCAUCGGGGAGGAAAAAACAAAACUAAUAAUUUUAUUUCUUGACGUUACCCGAAAAACGAAAGCACCGGCUAACUCCGUGCCAGCAGCCGCGGUAAUACGGAGGGUGCUAGCGUUAAUCAGAAUUACUGGGCGUAAAGAGCACGUAGGUGGUUUUUUUAAAGUUCAGAUGUGAAAUCCCUGGGCUUAACCUAGGAACUGCAUUUUGAAACUGAAAUACUAGAGUAUCGUAGAGGGAGGUAGAAUUCUAGGUGUAGCGGUGAAAUGCGUAGAUAUCUGGAGGAAUACCUGUGGCGAAAGCGGCCUCCUAAACGAAUACUGACACUGAGGUGCGAAAGCGUGGGGAGCAAACAGGGAUUAGAUACC